GAAGAAUCCUUCGCCACAUCCUCACCAACCACUUCGCGCUGAAAUUCAACUGGCUUGGCAGAGGAGGGAAGAAGCUAGCUUUUGCCUCCUACAAGGUGUGCAAUGUAGUAAGAGGUGCAUCGGCUAGCCAGAACAUUUCGGCCAGCGACUGCGAGGCAGUUAUUAAAAACUGGCUGAAGUGCAGCGGUGACCGGAGUGGAGGAAGAAAGAGGAGAGAAAGCAGAGUGCAUGAAGGUCCCCAGCAGUUCAGUCUUCCUCCUCCGAGUCCUUCCCCGGUCAUCCUGGAUCAUGAUACAACUAGCAGCGACAGUGACGACUGCAGCAGCCUGGAGUGACCCGCCUUCCGCCUGCACACCGACUCGGAUUUUAAUUCAUUUUUAAUUAAUUUAUUCUUCA
ensembl:lncRNA